UACGUAGGGUGCAAGCGUUAAUCGGAAUUACUGGGCGUAAAGCGUGCGCAGGCGGUUGUGCAAGACAGAUGUGAAAUCCCCGGGCUUAACCUGGGAACUGGCAUUUGGUGACUGCACGGCUAGAGUGUGUCAGAGGGGGGUAGAAUUCCACGUGUAGCAGUGAAAUGCGUAGAGAUGUGGAGGAACACCGAUGGCGAAGGCAGCCCCCUGGGUCAAGACUGACGCUCAUGCACGAAAGCGUGGGGAGCAAACAGG
rnacentral:rRNA from 1 species